rnacentral:rRNA from 1 species
GAUGAACGCUGGCGGCGUGCCUAAUACAUGCAAGUCGAGCGAACAGAUGAGGAGCUUGCUCCUCUGACGUUAGCGGCGGACGGGUGAGUAACACGUGGAUAACCUACCUAUAAGACUGGGAUAACUACGGGAAACCGGAGCUAAUACCGGAUAAUAUAUUGAACCGUAUGGUUCAAUAGUGAAAGACGGUUUUGCUGUCACUUAUAGAUGGAUCCGCGCCGCAUUAGCUAGUUGGUAAGGUAACGGCUUACCAAGGCAACGAUGCGUAGCCGACCUGAGAGGGUGAUCCGCCACACUGGAACUGAGGCACGGUCCAGACUCCUACGGGAGGCAGCAGUAGGGAAUCUUUCGCAAUGGGCGGAAGCCUGACGGAGCAACGCCGCGGGAGUGAAGAAGGUCUUCGGAUCGUAAAACUCUGUUAUUAGGGAAGAACAAAUGUGUGAGUAACUAUGCGCGUCUUGACGGUACCUAAUCAGAAAGCCACGGCUAACUACGUG